rnacentral:ribozyme from 1 species
UGCCAUCUCGAAAAUAGAUGGAGAGCUUCAAAAUGAAAAUAAUAAAGCAGCAACACUACAAAAACACGAAAAGGGAGUUUUUUUUUUGUUCAUUUGUAGUUUUUUUCAUCAUUUGCUGUUUUUUUUUUUUUUUUUUUCUCGUUUUGUCU